ensembl:lncRNA
GGGCUCUCUUUGCAAGAGAUGUUAUUCUUAUCAGCUGCCUCAUGAUCUAUUUUUAUUUCUCCCGCAACUUGUUAAAUACUCCCGGGAGCUGAUGGGGUGAAUGAAGCCUCCACUUUGAUUGAAUUUCUAUGUUUUCAGUUUUAUUAUUUCAAGACACAGUUAAAGGAAGGGACUCUUAGGGGCCUCUUUCUAGAAGGGAGCUCAGCAGUGAGUGCUGCUGGGAGGGGCUGGGGAAGGAGCAUCACCCUGGCUCCCAGCUCCCUGUUAUUUGGUCUCAGAAAAAAGACAAUAAGCUGGUAGGGACACCUUGGAGCUUUGCUUCGGAAGUGCGACUGAGAGUGAAGAGAGCUAAGGGAGACUUUCUGAGAAUUGCCAACGUGGCUCUCCAGAGUGUCUGAAACUGCCCUGCUCACCCCAAAAGCAGACUGAAUCAUAGGAUCUGAGAGAUCUGAUGGGGCUGUGGGGAUGGCUUUGUCCGAGCUCUCUCCAGGUAAUGUAGUGCAGGUGUAAAGAGCAAAUGAUCUGAAGAUGGAAAUCCCUGGAUUGAAAUGAUGCCUCCAUAUUUACCAUGAUAUACUCUUAGGUCAGUUGUUCAACAUUGCUAAGAAGAGCUUUGGUUUCCUUAUCUGCAAAAUGGGAAUACAAAUAUGUGAUUAAGAGACCACACAUGAGAAGCACUCAGCACAGGUCCUGGCACGUGGUAAUAGAUGGCUGGCGGUGUUAUACUUGAAGGGUGGUGGUCGUUGAUGGCGUUGCUCUCUUACUGAGACACCUGCUGCUUUUUGCCCCUUCCUUGCAGGUAUCUGGCACCCUUCUUCACACCCAGCACUUAAAGCUCAGUUCAUGUCAACCUAGACUUGAACCCAGAUUAGGGGGCAAACAACCUCAUCAGAGCGCUUUGUGUCUUCAUCAGCUAAGCUGGGCCCAGAUGCACUCAGGAACCUAGCAGAGCUCCUUCUGGUUGACUUGGCACCGCAGGAAAACAACGGUGUUGAACACUUCUUUCCCCCAAAGGCUGCAGACACUGCCUUUCACAAUGCGGAGCAGACACCACACAUUCAGACAAGUUCCUAAUUAAUGACGCAUAAUCAGUGUCUUUCAAAUGUGCAUUUGUUAUUCUCUGUCCAACUAAUUAACUGCACUGAACAUUCCAUGGUUGAAGCUGGAGCAUGGGUUAUCUGAAAAGCCCGUUAGAACCAGCCCAGGGUCAGAGCUCAGAAGAUGCAAAAGUUCUGACCAGGUUACCACUGGGCUGACGGAGUCUUAACAUCCCUACUUUCCCUCUCUAAAGCUCUCUGAGCCUCCUGGAAAGAAUACAAUACUCUCCAAUCACACUGGAGAUUACCUGCCUGCUCCACCUCUGCUGGGAGUUGCCCUGAGCAACCGUGCUAAUGGAAGCUUGUGUGAUCCUGGGAGCAAAGCCGGAAGGUUCACUGGUGCACAGUUUAACAUGGGGAUUAAUAAAGAACAAGGUCAUACGGUGGGGGCUACGGUUGGGAGAGAUUGGGAGACGAUGUGGGCAAGGACAAGAUCAAAUGAGUUAUAAUGUGUUAGAGCUGGAGAGCAGGCUUUACUUGGAACAGAGGGACCAGGGAAAACAGAACUCCCUACCCUUGGAAAGCCUGCAUUCUCUCCUUCCCCUUGUUCUCUGUCCAAAG